rnacentral:rRNA from 1 species
AACGUAGGUGGCGAGCGUUAUCCGGAUUUACUGGGCGUAAAGGGUGUGCAGGCGGGCUGUUAAGUGGUGUAUGAAAUCGCCCGGCUCAACCGGGCUAGGUUAUGCCAGACUGGCAGUCUAGAGAGCGAGAGAGGGACGUGGAAUUCCGGGUGUAGUGGUGAAAUGCGUAGAGAUCCGGAGGAACCCCGGAGGCGAAGGCGGCGUCCUGGCUCGCAUCUGACGCUCAGACACGACAGCAUGGGGAGCGAACGGG